CCGGGUGCAAGCGACGCUCAUGGCGGCCGACCGCGGCCCAAGACCUGAAGCCACCUGUGCGCACGUGGGAUGGUGCCUCCCCUAGACCGACCCGAGGCCUAAGACCGCCCUGAGGCAGAGCGUCGGGGGCUUGAAGGGCCCCUUCUUGUUCUCGUUGGAAGCAGGACCCCGAGAGUGGAGUGUGUGCAGAGGUGGGCAGGCCGGGGGCCUGGGGUCCUGAGCCCCUGAGUCAGGAGCGAUGAGUGAGGCCCAUCGGGGUCCAGUGCGGAAGGCGUGGGAGCCCGGGCUCUGGUGGGAGAAGUCUGGGCACAGAUGAAGAAGGAGAUGAAUCCCGCGUUCCUAUGGUUCUGUCAAAGGGAGAGAACGAGGGCUCAGAGGGAGGCCUGUCCUGUCAGAGUAGAGUCAGUAACCUCCUCAGAGCAGAGCCGGGUGAGAAGAGAGCUGCCAACACCAGGUUUUCUCCUCAAAGAGAAGAGACGUGUCAACCCAGGGCCGCAUGCUCCUGGGCGUGCUCUGCUGGAGGAGCAUGUGGGGAGCAGACUGGGGCCUUUUAUAGCCCCAAAAGCUGGAGAAGAAUUUUAUGAGAUUCUUGUGACUGCUCUCUCUCCCUUCCUUCCCUCCAUUUCUAUUUUCUCUCCUUUGAAAGUACAACCAUCCUUGCCUUGGACAAUUUCUCUUACUUCCCAUACAUCCUCCAGAGAUUUCUCUCAGGGUCAAUAAAUAGUAGUAGCCUGCA